GAGGAAGAGACAGGAGGGAGGCCCAAGGGAAGGCUGGAAGGAAGAGCAAAGGAGCCCAGGAUCUCAAAGGUACGGAACAGCCCAGGUGGGCUGCAGAGCUUGAAGACAGAAUUGCAGCAUGGGAGCAUUGCAGCUUGCAUUGGAGCUCCUGGAACAGGAACGUUGGCUGAAGGAGGAAGACAGCCUAUCUGAAAGACCUGUCUGAGCGACUGCUUUAGCUAAUGGCCACUAGAAUGCAGGCUCCUGCUGCACCCACUCCACAGCAUGAGGUCCCCUCCACAGUACCAUGCCAGCAGACCAGGAACACUUUGGACAACUCCAUGGUUGGGUGGUCCACAUACCUUGGACUUAGCUGGACAGGAAAAAUCUACCUUCUAUAGUCCUCCACUCUGGUCUAGGAACCCCUGCCCAAUGCAUACUUCCACCCCUGUGAUGACCCUCUCCCCCUCGCAGGCCUCCACACCCAGACAGUAGCACUAAGUGCAUGCUAAAUGCACAAGAAAGGGAAAGGAGAAGGUGCCAGAGGACAUACAAAAUUAAGAGGUUGUUUUGAUGGCACUGGUUUCACUGUUUGUACUGUUCAGUGUUUGAUUUAUGCAUUUUGUUUUAUUUCUAGUGUUUGUGCUGGUUUACUAUUGUUGUUUCAG